GGAAAUUUAGUUAAUAUAUAACGUCAAAAUGUCAUUUUGAACUAAACCAAUUCUAGGUUAAUUUCCU
rnacentral:tRNA from 1 species